AUACAAUACAAUACAAUACGGUUUUAUUCAUCACAUGCACAUAUAAGUGCAAUGAAAUUAAUUUGUCAGCAGUGGUACAAUCAAAAAAGAACACACAAUACA